rnacentral:rRNA from 1 species
UACGGAGGGUGCAAGCGUUAUCCGGAUUCACUGGGUUUAAAGGGUGCGUAGGCGGGCAGGUAAGUCAGUGGUGAAAUCUCCGAGCUUAACUCGGAAACUGCCGUUGAUACUAUUUGUCUUGAAUAUUGUGGAGGUAAGCGGAAUAUGUCAUGUAGCGGUGAAAUGCUUAGAUAUGACAUAGAACACCAAUUGCGAAGGCAGCUUGCUACAGGAAUAUUGACACUGAGGCACGAAAGCGUGGGGAUCAAACAGG